GUAGGUGGCAAGCGUUGUCCGGAAUUAUUGGGCGUAAAGCGCGCGCAGGCGGUUCUUUAAGUCUGAUGUGAAAGCCCAGGCUCAACCGUGGAGGGUCAUUGGAAACUGGAGAACUUGAGUACAGAAGAGGAAAGCGGAAUUCCACGUGUAGCGGUGAAAUGCGUAGAGAUGUGGAGGAACACCAGUGGCGAAGGCGGCUUUCUGGUCUGUAACUGACGCUGAGGCGCGAAAGCGUGGGGAGCAAACAGGGAUUAGAUACCCUGGUAGUCCACGCCGUAAACGAUGAGUGCUAAGUGUUAGGGGGGUUUCCGCCCCCUUAGUGCUGCAGCUAACGCAUUAAGCACUCCGCCUGGGGAUACGGCCGCAAGGCUG
rnacentral:rRNA from 1 species